AUUCAACCUUCCUUCUGGUUUCUUUUUCAUAAGGUGUCAAAGCCUGUCAGGAUAAGGUCUCUUGAUGCCAAGAACACAUCAUUUAUCAACAGUGGAACUGUCUUUAACCUGUUUGAUAUCUGUACUUAUUAUAUGUAUAUAAUCCUGUAAAAUCUG